rnacentral:lncRNA from 1 species
UGCUGAAAAGCCAUGUCUCCUUUUCCUGAUGAACCUCCAAACCUCCAGUGCUACAAGUCAGUGAUGAAAUAACCAUCCUCUGUGUAAAGCUUUUAGUGCUGAAUGUGAAAAAAUUCUCCGGGCUGCCAGCAGGUGGGAUUCAUGAUCAAACAGGAUAUAGCAACUUGCACCUGGAUUGCAAGGAGGAGGAAAAGACUACCUGGAUUAAAUACUAUUUUUCUGGGGGAGAGAAGGAGAGCAAUGAAAACUUGUAAUGCAAAGAUAGGACAGCACAGUGAUAGUUCUUUUACCCCUCAGCAAUGCAAGUGAAG